GGCCUGGAUAGCUCAGUUGGUAGAGCACCUGAAUGAAAAUGCAGGGGUCCCGGGUUCAAUUCCCGGCCCAGCCA